CGUGCCAGUCCACCGAACGGCCGGCAGGCGAUCCGCUUCGGACGCGUGAGACGGUGCAUGUUAUGUAUGGUUACCCGGAGGCCGGUUCUUGUGCCGCCUACCCCUCAUGGGGAGAGCACACGUCACUUGAUGUAAGCCUCCAUCCGGCGCCCUCCAACGGGCGCAGGAGGACAGCGUGGCACCCCCCGCGUUCCACCGAGCCCUCGUAGGUCGCGUGGCCCGCGGGGAAGUGCGAUGCUCUCGGACCCAGAGCACGCCGUGGGCGAGGACUCACGUCCCAGUCCCGACAGAAAAGCUCCGAAACGAUGCAUGACGGCCGCUCCCGCCCCCCGACCGCCCCGGCGGCGAGGGGGCGAGGCGCGGCG
rnacentral:misc_RNA from 1 species